AGCUCCACUGACUGAAUACAACCUAGACAGACGCAAACAGUCAGACAUUCAACGCUAUCUCAGCAGUUCCCUGUGCCCCUGUGCCCAAAGUCAGAGCUGACCUGGCUCUUAAAGGGAAUGAUGAGCAAGUGACGCUCUGAUUAGUUUAUUUAACAAUACACCCAACAUUUCGAGCCAUGCAAGGUGUACUUUUCCUGUCGUUACGAUAGCAAAGACACACUGACACGCCCUAAAUUAAAUUGCACAGUGCACUGUUGCCGAUCCCCUAAAGAUCAAUAAAAUGUAGUGCUUUUCUAUUAAUAUGGAAAUGGCACCAUUCUGGUUCGCAAACUGAAUUUUGAACCGCAUUGCUUUGUUUUUUUGCCAACAAAAAUAGGUUUUAGAACCAGGAGCAUUAGUUUGCAUUGGGAAUCGUUAUAAGCAUACUAGGUUCUUUCAGUGCGCCCUCUGUUUAUGACGUAUGGUAUGAAGUUUUGACAGUUCCUCUAAAACUGGUGAAAAUUUAGGCUGGUUCACUAAAAAGCACCACGGUUCUUAUAGGCCCGAAUGGAACUGGUCCAAGAACCAGAGUUCUUUUGGUGGAAAAGCGCCAAUAAAGCCCAAUGACUUUUAAUUUCUCUUUAUUUUCUUUAUUUUUUAUCAGGUGGGAUGCGGGAUAGUCGCCGGUCUGCUUCACUUCUUCUUCCUCUCGGCGUUCUGCUGGAUGUUGUUGGAAGGGGUCCAGCUGUAUCGGAUGGUGGUCAAAGUUUUCCACACCACGCUUCACCCCCUUCAAAUGGUUGCCGCGGGAUACGGAGUGCCAUUGGCCAUCGUCAUCAUUUCCGCCAUCGCUUACCCUAUGGGAUACGGAACGGACCGACACUGCUGGCUCUCUCUAAAAGAAGAUUUUAUCUGGAGCUUCUACGCCCCCGUCUGCAUCGUCAUCAUGAUCAACAGCUUCUUCUUCGUCAUCACUGUCUGGAAACUGGCGGGAAAAUUCUCCAGCCUCAACCCAGAUCUGUCCAAGCUCAAAAAACUCAGGUUAGAUACAAUACAGAUAUACAGUACCAGUAAACGUUUGGACGUUUAUUAUUUUAAAAUGUUCUGUAUUGUAGAUUAAUACUAAAAUCAUCCAAACAUUUUCUCAGUCAGUUUUAUGAGGUAGAGUCACCUGGAAUUCAGGCUUUCAGUUAACAGCUGUGCUGAACUCAUCAAGAGUUAAUUACUUGAAUUUCUUGUCUCUUAAU
rnacentral:lncRNA from 1 species